rnacentral:rRNA from 1 species
AUGCCUGCCUCCAAGAAGACCUUGUGGAAGAGGAGGGUGGGCGCGGGGCUGCCUGCCGGGGCCUCGCGUCGUCCCUCGCCGGAGCGUAAGGAGAUCUUGCCGGAGAUGCGGGACAAGUGCUUCCGCUGCCUGGCCAAAGGGCACUUCCUGAAGUACUGCACCAACGACGUCGUGUGUUUCCGUUGCGGUCUCUCAGGGCAUGUUGCCUCACAGUGCAAACGGCCACGCAGCCCGUCGCCGAUGGAGGAGCUCCCUCGCGAGGUCGCGACAAAGGUUGCUCGCAGGUCGGACUCGGUGGGCGCGGUGGGGCCGGGGACGUCCAGGCAUGGCUCGGUGGCCAUGCCCACUCCCCCGCCGCCCUCGUCUAACCCGGGCUCUGACCCGGUUUGGCCACAUCUUGCUGCGCCACGCUUGGAGAUGGCUGUUGACCCGGCGAUGGAUCCGUUGGAGCUGUGCGUGGUUAGGAGAACCCGCGCCAUGGAUGACAUCGAGUUCUGCCUCAACAAGGCCAUGGUGGUGUACGUUGGUGGGGACAGGUCAGAGAUCUCGCCUGAGCUAGUGCGGCGCGCUCUGAAAGACAAGAUGGGCAUCCCUAAGGAUAGAAUCUCAGUUCACAAGUUCUGGCUGGAGGACUUCUUGGUGGUUUUCGCGAGGCAGGAGGAUCGGAAUCUGAUGAGUAGGCGGCCGGUGUUGGAGUUUCGCGGCCGGAGGCUGUCGUUCUGGCAAUGGAUCAGGCAAUCGCAAGCAGUGUUUGCGGCCAUGCGUUUCAAGGUGAGGCUGGUCAUCGAGGGGAUUCCGCCACAUGCAUGGGAGUUGGAGGUGAUUGAGAGUUUGCUGGGCGGGGCGUGUAUCAUCGACUCCGUCGCGCCGGAGACCUCGGCCAGGACGGUCUCGCUGCGUUCAAGUUGA